rnacentral:rRNA from 1 species
UGCGUGCGUGCGUGGCAGCGGCGAAAGCUUGAGGCUCGCGCCUGCGUGCGUGCGCAGGCAGGCGGUAGGUGUGGCGUGGCGGGGCGCUUGCUGGGUUGGGAUCGGCGUUAGGGGUGGGCGGCAGGGCGGGUGGGAGGGGCGGCUUGGGCGGCUACGUCUGCCUCCGCGCCCACCCGCCGCACCGGGAGCUGCCGGCGCCGCGGCACAGCCGGAGGGGGGCGGUCCUCGUCGUCGUCGCGGUGUAGCCGUGGCGGCGCGUGGAGCGGCGGCCCCCGAAGCGGCCGCAGCAGUCGUUCUGGACGUGGCGCGGGGAGCGGGCGGAGUGGUAGGAGAAGGUCCACCGUCCAUACGUAAGUCUACGACGUCGAGAUUCCUUCACAUCAUAUACCGUGCUCCGAAGUGCAUAACAAGCUCUUCUUCCCAAACCCCGUAAAACCUUCCCGUUAGAACAGUGGUAACAUGUAGCUAAUGGAAUAAGCCGGUACUCGAAGAUAAGUAUACUCGCUAUGUUUUUCGAAGAGCCUUACCACGGACCGGACCUACUGGGUUUAAUACAAUCACAGCAUGCAAAUGAACCACCACCAAAUCGCCCUCACUGUCGACGUAGACAUUGAAUGGGCAACCUACAACAAGCUUGAGCAAACCGUUGUGUCUUUUGGUGGUCCAUAAUGUUCCCGUAGAAAGUAUGCAACAGGUGUUAAACAUCUCUUCUCUCACCGUCUCCUAACAUAUUUCCGGAACCCCGGUGCAAUAACCCUCAACCUGGACCAUAACGUUAGUCGAAAAUACAUAUACUUAGGGACUCCAGAGUAACCGUUUACCUUUCCGGCUUACUAAGGUUACGACAACACUCGAACAAAAGACCCUCAGAUAGACCAUAACGUCGCAGCUGUCGAUGUAAAGGAGAACUAGAACAUUUCGCUGCCUACGUUGAUGUGCCCCGCCGACCCCGUAGUGUUUAGCUUUUUAGUUCGUAUUGACCUUGGUAGGCGGUUUAGGAAGUUUUCCUUCCAGGAGCACCGAAGAUGGCUCCGUAUCAGGGCCUCAUGGACUUCCAACAAGGAUCGCAACCUUAGCGGAAGUACUGGAUACUCCAUAACUUCUCGUACGAGAGGUCGUAACUACCCCUACUACUCUUGAUUCGAACGUAAUGGAAAAAACGGCGGGAUCCAAUGAUGACAUUCUGAUGUCACAUACUCUCACUAAUGUUGUACGGAACGGUCCGUCAAAACAUCCACAACCAUCCUAUUUCGUUCGAAAUGGACUCCAAUACAACAUGGUAUAUCCGAUUAAUUUCUCGUUUGCUAACUUAGACAAAAAGACACUCGAAAUACGAGACUAAACAGUACCUUACGUUACGGUAAACGUUCCUCUUUUGAGG